CUUUGGCACAUUACCAGUUUUCAACAGCCAUUACCAAGACCCAUCAUAAUCCCAAAACAUAGAAACCCAAAUCCAACCCAUUUCAUUCAGCAUUAAAAUACAAUAUACAUAGCAAUAGCGCACAACAAUACCAAAAGAGAUCAUUACAUACACGUCCCCCUCUUCUCCUUCGGGAACAAGCCCAUAAGAGAAGCAAAUUUCGACCCAAAAUUCUAACCAAAACUCCACUAGUCCAGAAUCGAUGUGUCGUCUUUUUCCUCUCUCACUUAUCCUCUUCGUACAAGAAUUAUCUAGAUGUAUCAAUCUUGUGCUUCAUUUCUCCUUCCUCCAGCAAUUUGGCGAUUCUUAUCAGCUUCCAACUACGAAAUUUGUUUUUCUUUGUACAAGUUCAGUACUAUUCCACCUCUGACAUCCUGAUUCCUAAGAAAUUAUUGAAAUUCGAAUUGUUUUUAUCCAAAUUUCACUUUAAUUCCCUCCUAAACAGUCCUUAAUUCCACCUAUAUAAAAUCCUUUUCUUCGUUAUAGUUUGGGGUUGACAUUUUUUGAAGAAAAUCUUGCGGAGAAGUUAGUUUACCAAUGAAAAGAAGCGAGAACUAGAUACCAAAAGCAGAAAUUAAACUGGAGAACAGAGAGUAGUUUCAGUUUCGGACUCAAUUUCACUUACACUCUUGGUUUCUCUUCUGAAUUCAUGGAGUUUUAAAGUUGGUGGUGGAACAUAGUUUCCCCAUCGUUUCCAUUCCCGUGACUGCACAUGAAAAGACCAUGAACAAGUGGAACGAAUUCGGAAAGGGAACAAUCAAGUCUCUUAGGGUUCAAGCUUAUUUCGAGGUACAAGAUACACAUUAAGGUAAAAGACAACGGUGGGAAACUAAUUUAGUUCUUUUUAAUGGUGUCGCCGAAAAGUUGCUUGAAACUUCUGGUUUCAAGUUUGUUAACCAUUCGACCAAAGCUGGUACGAACGUUCCAUCGCAAAUUGAGAGCCUUUGCGGUAAGGAAAUUGUAUUCAAGAUCAAAUUGUCCAAAUAUAAUUUGAAAGAUGGCUGAAAUAUUAUACAGUCACAAAGGUGUUUGUUCUGGAUGAAGAUUUUGAAUUACAACACCGCAUUAACAAAGGAAAAAAGUCUACAAGAAAAACUCAAAAUAGAAGAAACAGAAAAAUACAUGAGCAUGUUGCAGAUGGUUCAGACGAUAACAACUCAGAAGAAGAUCCCGAUGAGGGAGAGGGCACUUCCACUGGCAACACAAUUGUUAUGGAUGCUUAAAGGAUGUCUCUAUGAUCAAGGAGCUUGUUAUGUGUUUCUCAAGCUCAAGCAAAAGGAAUCCUUAAGAUCCAAGGAUGUCCUAUGUCAAGUUAUCUUUUAAGUCUUGUAAUUAUAUACUUAUGAUUAUGUUGUAAGGGUCGUGUCCCUAAUAUGCUCUAAUGAUGUUGAGUCUGGAUGGCAAAAAGAGUAGAGUCUAUAAAAUGUACUUAUGAUAUUUUAUAUAUAUGAAGUGAAGUUUCUAGCA